GUCCCUGUAGCGCAAUGAAUAGCGUGUUGGACUUCUAAUCCAAAAGUCGUGGAUUCGAAUCCUACCUGGGGCG
rnacentral:tRNA from 1 species